rnacentral:lncRNA from 1 species
UGCCACAUUAUUCUACCCUUCGAACAAAAAAUUUCUCUAACACCCCUGUAUAAGUUAAGUCAAUAUUCUACCUCUUACUCAAGGGCUUGAGCCAUAAAUCUUACAAACAUGCGUGUCGUCGGCUAGUGGGUGGAUUUGGCAUAGGGAAAAAUAACAUCUCAUUUGCCGCUAAUUCGUCUAACGGUGAUCAACUACAAAUGAAGGCUUCAGUGAGAUUCAAAUCACCGAAUUAAAUAACUAGCCAAUGAACAUUAAUACAUGGUGUAUUUUUCCGCAGUGUAUCGUUAAGUUGUUGUUAUAGAAUGAGUAGUAUCUGUAGAAUUUUUGUUUUAACAUCUUAAACAUACUACAAAUUGCUUUUGAACUGAUGAAGCUUUCGAAAUUGUAAAGCGAAACGUUUUCAAUAUAUCAAUGAAGUAGUUGA